AUUAAGGACCUUUACACAUUUAUAUAAGAACCUCUAAACCUCAUGCCCUGCCUAUGAAAUAGCAGAAGUACAAGAAGGGAGACUCAAACUCAAAAGAGUUUCCACUCUUGCACCAUCAUGUCCACCACCACCACCCAUAAUGACCUCCCACUACACACCCACAAGCGCUCCCGUCGAACGACCACGAACCGCGUGUUUGCGGUGGUUCACUCGUGUGCCAUCCUAGCCCUUCUCUACCGCCAUGCACUCUCUCUCCUCCACUCCACAUCCCUCACCUCUUUCUUUAUCACCCUUACCUUCCUCAUCUCCGACUCUAUUCUGGCUUUCAUGUACAGCACCGCACAAUCUCCUCGUAUGACACCAAUUUACCGUAAAGAAUUCCCCGAAAACCUGAAAAGGGUUGUCAAAGAAUCGGAUUUCCCAGCGUUAGACAUGAUCAUAUGCACUGCUGAUCCUUUCAAAGAGCCACCAAUGAACGUGGUAAACACUGCCUUAUCGGUCAUGGCUUAUGAUUAUCCGACCGAUAAGGUUUCAGUGUAUGUUUCAGAUGAUGGGGGCUCGGCUCUCACUCUCUUUGCCUUCAUGGAGGCCGCCAGGUUUGCAAGCCACUGGUUACCUUUCUGCAGAGAGAACAGCAUAGUGGAACGCUGCCCUGAAGCUUACUUUGAAACUGAUCAUUCUCGGUUACCUGAAGCUGACAAGAUCAAGGUAAUAUUAUCAUAUUUCAAUUUUGCUUAAUUAUUAACUAUAAAUAUUUUUAUGUAAAUCAAUAUGUAUGGUAGUAAUAUCCUCUUAUCAAGAUUAUAUUGUCACAUAAAUAAGUAUAGUGACGGAUUAUAUCGUGUGAUGAGAUAAGAUCAUAUAAUACUUACGUUAUUAGACUAUGAAUACUGAUUGUUAUAACUUUUUUUGGUUAUACUGUAAUUAGGAUAUUACAUAAAAAGGAGUUUAUAUUUUUGCUCAGAUUGAAAAGGGGACCUUCUUAAUCUUUAGAAAAGCCCCUACCAAAAUUGCUCAUGUAUUCAGUAACACAAAUGGUGACGUCGGCUGCAAUACUAAUUUGUCAUCUUGUUUGGGUUCCUAUCCUCUUCAUAAUGCAUGAGCCAAUGACGGCACAAACAGCCAACACCAAGUUGUAUGGGCAUCGCAUCACAUUCAGGACUGGCCUAAUUAAGCUUGAUUAAUUAUGUUUUGUUCUGAAUCGUGGCACAGAUUAUGUACCAAGGCAUGAAAGUGAUGGUAAACAAUGUAAUUGAAAGAGGCAAAGUUGGCGAUGAAUAUAUAACUGGAGAACGGGAAAGGCUAGCUUUUAGGAAAUGGACAGACGGAUUUACCCGACAAGAUCAUCCCACUAUUAUUCAGGUAUAUUUUUCUAUCCUGACUGGUGGACCACUUUCUCUCACUAUUACAAUCGACAUGAUAAGAGUUUGAUUCUUUCUUCCUUUCUUUUGAAUUUUAAACCAAAAAAAAAAUAAUCUCAAUUUUUACAUAUAUAAAUUCUAAUUGGGACAAUAAUAAUCAUUCUUGUGACUCGUGAGGAACUAAUCACUAACAAUCUUGUAAAAGAAAAAAAAAAGGAAUUAGAAAACUCAAUUAUGUCAUCUCCUAUUACAUAGUUUAAUGUGCUAUAGAUGUCGUGAUAUUUUCUUUGACAAUUCAAAAUCAUCAACUAAUCAACCCUCGUAAUUCAAAAUUAUUCACAGUUUACUCACUAGUUAGCUUUUGAGCGCUCUAUAAGCUUAUAUAUAUAUAUAUGUACUUAAAAGUAUAUAUGUACGUGGAUAGGUUCUUUUGGACAAUAGCGAAGACAGAGACAUCGCAGACAAUUCAAUGCCAAACCUAAUAUACGUCUCUAGAGAGAAAAGCAGGACAUCACACCACAAUUUUAAAGCUGGUGCCCUUAAUGCUCUUGUAAGCUUCCAUACCUUUUCUUUUGGGCUCACGUAACCAUCUCAUUCUCAAAUAAUUAAUUAAUCAUCUUCAUUUCUUCACCAACUAAUUUAUAUUUUUCUGAUGGUGUGUUGUAACAAAAGCUUCGAGUCUCAGCCACCAUGACCAAUGCUCCAAUAGUCUUAACCCUAGACUGUGACAUGUUCUCCAAUGAUCCCCAAACACCUCAUCGUGCCCUUUGUUACUUCUUAGACCCCAAAAUUCAAUCUGAACUAGGGUAUGUGCAGUUUCCUCAACGCUUUCGUGGGAUCGACAAGAGCGACAUGUAUGCAUCUGAAAACAGGCGUUUGUUUGAAAUUAAUCCACAGGGAAUGGAUGGGGUUUUAGGGCCAAAUUAUGUAGGAACUGGGUGUUUUUUCUCAAGAAGAGUUUUCUUUGGCGGCCCAUCAAAGUUUUUACCACCCGAAAACCCCCAACUUGGUCCAAACAAUGUGGUGGACAAGCCCAUUCAGAGUCUAGAGGUUCUAGAAUUGGCACACCAUGUUGCAGCUUGCAACUAUGAGAAAAACUCCAAUUGGGGAUCAAAGGUACACUCUUUCUUUUUGAACGAGUUGUUAUUUCUGCUUCAAAAAAGUCAUCGUGCACUUAGAUUCUAAAACUGAUGAAUUAAGUUAUUAAAUUGCGUAGAUUGGCGUGAGAUAUGGUUCGCUGGUGGAGGACUACUUUACUGGUUAUCAUUUGCAGUGUGAGGGGUGGAAGUCUAUAUUUUGCAAUCCAGAUAAGCCAGCAUUUUCUGGGGAUUCCCCAAUCAACCUUAUUGAUGUUUUAAAUCAAACCAAGCGAUGGGCCAUAGGCCUUCUUGAGGUGUGUUUCUCUAGGUAUAGCCCAAUUACAUUUGGCAUAAAAUCCAUGGGCCCGCGCAUGGGCCUUGCUUAUUGUUAUGGAUUUUGGGCCAUUUGGUCAAUUCCAAUCACUGCAUAUGCCUUCUUACCCCAACUAGCUCUUCUCAAUGGACUCACUAUAUUUCCAAAGGUAACCCUUUUCACAAUUUCACUUUCUAAAUAAUUAGUAAUUUAAUUUUAAUAAUCAAACAAUUUGAUAUAUCAUGUCGCAAUGUUAGAAUGUUAAUUUGACCUAAUUAAGAUUCAUAUUAACAUUUUGACAACAUCUCAUAAGUGUCUAAUGUAGUAAUCUAAAUAUACAAGGGUCGGACAAGAUGUGCACUAAGAUUGAAGUACUUAUUGCAGGUUUCAGAGCCAUGGUUUCUCUUAUAUGUGUUUGUUUUCAUCGGAGCCUACUUUGAAGAUCUUCUAGAUUUUCACUCAAUUGGAGUAACAUUCCAAAAGUGGUGGAGUGACCAAAGGAUGUGGCUGAUUAAGGGACUCUCAAGCUUCUUGUUUGGAUCCAUUGAGUUCUUCUUCAAGUCCUUUGGCAUUGCCACACUUGGGUUCAAUGUGACAAGCAAAGUCCUUGACGAGGACCAAAGCAAAAGGUACGAACAAGGAAGUAUGGAGUUUGGAGUCCCAUCACCUUUGUUUGUGCCCCUAACAACGGCUGCCGUUGUCAACUUGGCUGCCUUUGCUUGGGGGCAUGUAGAGGUUUUCAGAGGCAGCAAUGGCCUGGAGGGACUGUUGAUGCAGAUGUUCAUAGCUGGGUUUGGGAUAGCAAAUUGCAUGCCAAUUUAUGAAGGCAUAAUUAGGAGUGAUAAAGGAAAAAUUCCUACAAAAAUUACUUUAGUUUCAACAUUUAUAGCGUUUGCUCUUUAUGCAGCAGCUUAUGUUACUCUUAGGAACUGAACCCCAAAAACUGUAUUAAUAAAUUUUGAAUUGGAUAAAUUGUAUUAUAGUUUAUGUUAAGAGAAAGCGAUUUCGAAUAAAACAUUGUUAGAGCCCUACAGUUUUUUAUAAUGAAUUUGGAGUCCCUAUGAGAGAUCCCAAAAGCUUGACGACAAAGCUGUGGACCAUUGUUUUGUUUAAUCAUUGGCCUCAAUGCUAAGUUUUCUAAGAGAAGAAAUGUUCUACUAUCUCCACUCAGUCUUCUUUGCAAAAGAAAGUUGGUCGCCGCAAUUGUGUUAGGUUUCCUUUUAGGUCUUUUGGGAAACUUCUUUGUACAUUAAUAUAAAGAAUGAAAAACUUAAUGGGUCAUUUUAAAUUUAAGUGGGAUGUAUAUGGACCUACAUAUAUUGAAGGUACUAGAUCAUGAGGCUAACGAUUUUUGCCAGAUUUAUGUUGCAAGGUAAAUGCUUCUUUUCUUUAAAUAAGUCUAACAAUGCAAGUGCCUGCAGUGAAUCCAAUUCCAAAUAUCAGGCUUGGAAAAGAACUACUACAAAAAGUGAAAAAGACGACCAGAAAACAACGACGGUCUAAGUGAAAACCGUCGUGGUUUAUAAAAAGACGACGGUUCUAAAAACACCGUCGUGUAAUACAACCUUAGACAACUAAAAAAUGGAGUUUCAAAUGGCUGUUCAAAAACAACGACGUACAUAAUUAAACAACCGACGUCUAUUUGAAACAGAUUUCCUCAGUGUAAAAUCAAUGCCAACAAAGAACGGCAGAAGUUAUGAAUCGACCGACGUAGAAAGUAAAGACGACGAUUUCAAUAAAAACUGCCGUUUUUACUCAUAAAAUAACACGACGAGGUUUUCGUAUAAGACGCCGUAUAAUUACAAACAAAUCCACGGCUUUAAAAUACAAAAUAUCGCCGUAUUAAAUUAAUUUACAACGACGGAAAAUAUAAAUAUAUCGACGUCAUUCUCGUAUAGUUCUACUACGUUAUCUUUAAAUCGUACAAUAAAAUUUAUCGUCGUAUUUAUUCAUUUUAUACGUCGUACCUUUAAUUUUAACGGUCGUCUUAAUAAGAAUUUUUGUUAACAAUUUUUUUCUUUGAUUUUCUUAUCCUACGUCGGUAGAUCUACUUAAUGACAAGAAUUGAAAUAACCACGACGGUUUAUAUAGAACACCGCCGACAUAAUCAGUUUUGUCUGAGAUCCCAAGGGUUACGAAAUCUUACCAGAUGGAACUCUGUUCCACAUCAUAAUCUUAACAGAUGACACAGAUUUGCAAAUAUUGCGUCGUGUUAGUUUACAAAUUCUAGAACAUUAAUUUCCCUCAUUUUAAAUUUCCUCGGGAAAGAAAAAUCUAUUUAUCACGCUUUGGAAUUGAAAACUAAAACUGAAAGAAUACGGGAAAAAAAACUCCAUUUAUAAUUUAAAAUUAAAAUCCACGUCGGUUGUAGUACACUUAACGACGUUUAACAAAAUAAUCUACGUCGGUAAUUAUAAAUCUACCGCCAUCGUAACUUAAUAUAGACGACGAGAAAAGACGACGGUAGAACAGAAAACCGCCGUUGUUUCAGUUUCUUUAACAUAUCUUUCUGCAGGACUUGUGUAGUUCAAAGCAUUGACAAUGUCUUCAUCAUAUCUCCCAGAAACUACUGAUUCAAUUGCUCAUGCUUUAGAGGCCAUCUGAAGCCAUUUCUAUUCUUUAUCGCAUUCUUGAAACCCAUCUUCUUCUUCUGAAGCUCUACGGAUAAAGGAAGAGGCUAUCACAAUAAAUCCGACGGAUCUUCUUAGGCAAGAAAAUCAAGCAGAGGAUCAGGCACAUCUGAUCUUCAGAUUUCCCUGAGAAGCGAACUUUCCUUCGACAGCGAGUGGAGGCCAGGCUUGCAUCUCUUUUGAUGGAAAGCAAGGAGUAUUCAGAAGCACUAAGUGUCCUAUCAGGCUUGAUCAAGGAAGUGAGAAGGCUAGUUGACAAGCUUCUUCUUGUGGACAUAUAUUUGAUGCGAGUAAGCUCAAUUUCUCUUUGAGAAAACAUCCAAAUUAUUAUCUUUGAGACAUGAGAGACUGAGAGAGGAAGAACUUGGAACCUUAAAUGUAAACCGAAAAUGAAUGAAAGCGACAAAUUUAUAGAAUAAAUUUUUAAAACCAACGGCGGUCCUUACAAACAAACCGCCGUUUAAAUUGUAAAAUCAACGUCGGUAUGAUCGACGUAUAUUACAGAAAUCCACGUCGGUAAAUUAAUAAAAACGACGUGUUAAAUAAUAUACCAUGACGCGAGUUAUUACUUAUGUACUUUAAUUUUUGAGUUUACUACGACGGUACCUACAAACUACUGUCGUAUUUAUUUACCACGUCCGAAGUUAAAUGUACCGUCGUAUUUUGUAAUUUAUACGUCGUAGUUAUAUGUAACCGCCAUAUUAUUUUUUUGAAAUGGUUUUAUAUGUAAGCAACUUUUCAUUCUAUUCAUAAUUUAAAAAUUAAAAUCCACGUCGGUUAUAUUAAACCUAACGACGUUAAAUGAAAUGAUUCCACGUCGAAUGAAAAAUAUUGCGUCGUUUUAGUUAAAAACGACGUAGUUAAAUGUAACCGCCGUAUUAUUUUUUUGAAAUGGUUUUAUAUGUAAGCAACUUUUCGACUUACACAUGCACUGUUUCCAAACCCGAUUAAAAAUUUCAAUCUCCCAGAGAAACCUUUUCGUCUUUUUUCCUUGUCAGAGCAUUGUCAGAGUUUCUCAUCGUCUUCCUCUCGUCUUCUUCGUCGUCUCUGAACUUAAACAUCGAUCAUCUUCCUCUUGCUUUCAUUGCACGCAAAAGGUAAGCUUUCAUUUUCACUAUUUUGGUUACUGUUUUGCAUGCUCAUACGUUUUUUGUUUGAAAAAUCUUUUUACCUUUUUUCUGGCCAAAAUCAUUUUACUUCUUUCCAAGUUUGAUAAAAUAUACAGACAAAGAGAGAAAGUUUCCAACUUUGAAGACAACUACAUCAACUAAAUAAGACGACGGUAGACCACGACGGUUCGUCAGUUGUUCUAGCGUCGUCUGAAAAUUGACAAAGUUGUUUUUAAAAUAAUAGUCUUUUUUUAUAUGCUUGUUUAAUUGCAGGUUUGAUUUCGCUGAACAAUGGUUUUUGUUUUUCCCUUAUUUGAUAAAAUAUAAAGAAAAAGAAACUAGGGUUGGUAUCUAAUAUAGACGAUAAAAUAUAAAUAAUAGUUUACCACGACGGUGUAUUACUAUUGACGUCGUGUGAACAUAUAUACCACGACGUUAUAUAAAUAAUGGUUUUAAACAUUUAUUACGUCUGAGAUUAUUUCAUUGCGUCGUCUAAAAUCAUAUCAUACGUCGUAUUUUUUUAAUACCGUCGUUUGUGUUCUUAAUGUUUUCCUGAAAUAUUUUCACUUGCAGUUUUGUCUGUUAAAAUGGUUUCUCAACAACAAACUAAGGAUUCUGGCUCCAAGAAGCUUGGAAUGGUAGCUCCUCAAGAUAAGUCUUCGAAGGAGAUGAAGUCUUCGAAGAAGAUGAAGUUUGCUGCAUCAUCUGCUGAGACAGAACAAACCAGCCAGACAACAAUCUCAGAUGAUUCAAAGACUGGUCGAGGUAUGAGCACAAUGCCUCGUGUUGUGAAGAGAAAGCUUCAGAAACUGAGGCCAAUUGUUGAGUACAAUAAAAGGGGGAAAGGUGUUGGCCAAGCACAUAUUGAGAUGCAGUCGUAUAUUGGUGUGUUGGCACGCUCCAGGAUCCCACUUGUGGACAAGAAAUGGUCCCAAAUCCCCAAGGAUAUAAAGGAGCAGAUUUGGGAAGCAGUUGACAUGGCUUUUGUCGUAGGCCAAGGGGGCAAGACCUCUGUUUUAGCUUCUGCUUCCAAGAAAUGGAAGGAUUUCAAGUCUACACUAACGAGGCAUUAUAUCCUUCCAUACACCAAUGACAGGGAGAAAUUAAGCCAACCCCCUGAAACAUAUAAAUUCAUAGAGAAAGCACAAUGGGAUGCCUUUGUAGCUUCAAGGCUAUCCAAAGAUUUUGAGUCUGUGCAUUCUCAACAUGCACAGAUUAGGGAGAAACUCGAGUACAAUCAUCGAUUGUCUCGAAAAGGAUAUGCUGGAUUGGAGGAUCAAUUGGAGGAAACCAUGCCUGGGGUAGAAAUUGAUCGAUCUACCUUAUGGAAGAGAGCUAGACAGGACAAACAUGGUAACAUCCCUGAUCCAAAGGUGGCAGAGAAAGCAAAAUUAAUUGUAAGCCUACUAUCACUCUGUUUUAAAUUUUUAUUAAACUGUGAAUUAUUCUUAUUACGUCGUAUGUUAUAUUUUUCGUCGUGUGAAUGAUAUUACCACGUCGAAAAGUUUUUAAAAACGUCGUUAAAGGUCUAAAUAGGAAUCACUACUAUGUUUUCUGUAAUUACAGCAUAAGACGUCGGUGGUUCAUUUUCGCGUCGUGUGAAUGAUAUUACCACGUCGAAAAUUUUUUAAAAACGUCGUUAACGGUCUAAAUAGGAAUCACUACUCUGUUAUCUUUAAUUAUAGCAUAAGACGUCGGUUGUUUAUUCAUUUCGUCGUUUUACAUAAAUAACCACGUCGGUAUAACUACCGUCGUGAUAAGUUAUAAUAACGUCGGUUUAUACGUUAUUGCGUCGUGUGAAAUUAUAUAAUACGUCGUUUGUACAUAAAUAACCGUCGUGUGUUUUUUUGUUUAUCUUUUUUUAGGAUGAAUUGCAGAAACAAGUCUCGGAAGGCAAAGUCAGAGUAGAUGGCAGCAAUGAUGUGCUGACCAUGGCUUUGGGCCCCGAGCAUCCAGGCAGACUGAGGGGAGUUGGUGCUGGUGUUUCCCCAAGGCAAUAUUUCAAUUUGCCCAAACCACAGAGGGUGAGCUUUGACGACCGUUUGAAGGACAGUUUAAGAGUUCUCCUUCAAGAAGAGACUAAAAAGAUGGAGGCUAAGGCAAGGGAAGAGGCCUUAAGGAUGGAGGCUAGGACAAAACAAUUGGUAGAGGCUGAGAGGGAGCAUUUCCUGAGUCAGCUUUCCCAAUUAAUUCCCAAUUUUGAUCCAAGCAUGCUUAAACCAAGAAUUAGCCAAAGCCCCAAAAAUCCAAUGUCUGACAAAGCUAGCUGCUCUGGAGGUGAUGUGAGAUCCCUACAUUUGGAGGAUGAUACUGCCAAAAUGGGGAAACAUCAGCCAGAUGAAGAGAAGGAAGAAGAAAAAAGAGAUGAAGAGAAGGAAGAAGAAAAGGAGAAAGAAGAUGAAGAAAAGCAUGACGACAGGUAUGUUCACAUAACUUUGCCUUUUUUAUUUGUUUUUCAAAAUUUCAGACGUCGAUAUUUUUAUUUAAUCCGUCGUUUGUUUAAAACUUAGACGGCGGAAUUUUUUUAAGACGUAAUAAAAUAUUUAAACGACGGUUUUUGCACCGUCGUUUAAAUGGUUUCAGACGACGCUUUAUUCAUAAAACCGUCGUCUUUAUUGAAUUACCACGACAGUUUUUUCACCGUCGUUUAAAUACUUUUAAGACGACGUUUUAUUACUUAAACCGUCGUCUUUAUUGAAUUACCACGUCAUUUUUUUUAUUUCUUUAAACAGGUUAUUGAAGUUGGUGCUUAUUCAAAUAUGGAGGCGCCAUCUUCUUUAAAAACCCUUUGUCGUUUUGUGGAAACGACACUCCUGCCUGAGGAUAAGACACUCCAAUUUACAAUUGAUAAGGAGGUGUUUGGUGGUGAGCGCGAUACCUUCCUCCUGCCUGAAGAUAUUACACAAUUUGCAGGCAUGGAAGAAAUUGGAGCUACUGUAUUGGCUGUAUAUAUGAGGUUUGUACUUCUAAAAUAAUACCUCGUUGGUUUAUAUAUUGCGUCGUCUUAACUAACUAACCACGUCGUCUUAACUAACUACCGUCGUGAUAAAUAUAUUAUAACGUCCUCAUCUAUUUCAGUACGUCGUGUGAAAUAUUAUAAUACGUCGUUUUUUUAUACAUAACCGUCGUGUUUGUUUGUGCUGACUUGUUUAUAUUAUUUUAUGUAUUUAGGUACUUACACGAUGUUUUGAAACAAGCCAAUAUGUGCAGCAUGGUUGGCUUUAUUGACCCUGCUACAGUUAGUGCCAACUCUGGCACAAUAACUGAAAGAUCACGACUGGUAGCAGCUCGACUUCAGAAGACAGACGGUGAACAGCUUUUCAUGAUGCCUUACAAUCCAGGGUUAGUCUCCUUAGGAUUUUGUUUUUAUGAUUUUCAAUAAAUGACAGCUUAUAAACUAACCACGUCGGUGUUUUAUUUUAUUUAGUCGUUUGAAACUACUAACCACGUCGGUAUUUAUUUGUCGUCGUGAUAAAUAUAUAAUGUCGUCGUUAUCUACUUUAUUUCGUCGUGUGAAAUACUAUAAUACGUCGUUUUUGUAAAUAACCGUCGUUUUUAUAUUAAUUUUGUGCAGCCGUCAUUGGAUCCUGCUGAUUGUAAGAGCAAAGAAGGAGACCGUCUAUUUUCUGGAUCCUCUGCCAGGUCAUCGUGUGGUCGACGAAGAGGCGAAAAACAUCGUGAACAGUGCUUUAAAAAUAUAUAAUACCCACAUAGGCCGAGCAGGACGUAAAAAUGUAAUUUGGAAAACUCUCUCAGGCACACCAAAGCAACCCAGCAAUGUCGAAUGCGGGUAUUAUGUGAUGCGCUUCAUGAGGGACAUCAUCAUGGAUCCUUCCUUGGGGUUUGAGAAUAAGGUAAGAAGAAAUUACCUUCAUACAUUUCACGUCGUUUUUUGUAUUAUCAACGACGGUCAUGUAAAAUUAACGUCGUUGAAUGGAUAUACUACGUCGGUUAUGAAAAAUAUCGUCGUCUGUGAUUGAAUUUCUUUUUAUUUAUAAACCCUAAUAGUCAUUGUUUAUGCAGUAUGCCAAGGGAAACCAGGAAGCUUCAUACCCCCAAGAAGCCAUUGAUGAAGUCCGGAAUGAAUGGGCAGAGUUUGUUUUCCAAAUUAUUAAACAGGGCAAUUAUUGAACACUUGAUAUUUAUGUAUAAUGUACAAAUUUUCUCUAUAAUAUGUAAUGUAAAAAUUUGUUGAGGUUUUCUUAAAUUAAAAAAAAAACAAACAUACAAAUUGCUUAACCGACGUGUAAUACUUUUCCAACGACCUAAUAAAGUCACAAACCGUCGUAUUUUGUUGUUUCGUGUUUUAAACAAUUACGACGUAAAAAUAUAGUUAGACGACGUUCUUUGAACAAUUGAGUCGUUUAUGGUUUACAACAUCUUCAAUUUCUUAAGGGUUCAGGGUAUCAUCGACGACGUUUAUGUAACGACAGCGGUUAAGUCGUUGAUAUAUAUAUUUUACGUCGUAUAGUUAAAUAGCCGCCAUGGUUUCUCAUUUUAACGACGUCAUUUUAACGACUUAGUAGUCUAUUACAAUUUACAACGUCUACAAUUUAUUAACACCGACGUGGUUUGUUGUUGUGGUAAGAAUAUUUUAUUAUUUUUAUAUCAAAAUAUUCAAAAUAAAUUUAAAAUAAAUCAGAAAAUUGAAAAGUCAACUCCUAUGAAGUCAUUGAUAUAUUUUCUUCCACAUAAACCUUGAAAAAAUUCAUUUUGAAUAACAAAAAUUUAAAAUGACCAUCCAAAACAAAAUUGUUUUGAUGAGUCAUAAAAUCACUUCUAGUUUAAUGGUUUAGGGUUUAGAGUCUAGGGUUUAGAGAUUAGUGUUGUUAUUUAUUGGGGUUUAUUUUUAAAGUAUAAUUUUUGGGUAGUCUAUGUUAUAUGUUAGGCUUUAAAACCAUAAAACCUUUUAUAAACUUAAUUUUUUAAAUUGUAUAAUUUAAUUUUAUGGGUUUAGUGUAUUAAUUUUUAACGACGGUGGUUGGGUCGUGGAAUACAUAUUUUACGUCGUACAGUAAAACAUACGACAUGGUUUACGCUUUAAACGACGUUAUUUUAAUAUGUAAGUCGGUUUAUAUAAUUUACAACGUCUUUAAUUUCUUAACACCGACGUGGUUUUUCAGUCGUCGUUAUAUAAAAAAUUCAAAAUAAAUUUAAAAUUAAUCCGAAAAAUGAACGGCCUUACGUUCUUAAUCCGAAAAAUGAAGUUUCCGUCGUGGAAUAUUAAAUUUACGUCGGUACUUGUAGAAUUUCGCCUUGGUUUUUCUUUCGACGUUUUAUAACGCGCGCGCUCUAAAAAUUUUCGCGCGACCUAAAUUUUUUUAGAUUUGGCUCUUAGUCUUAUACUUUGAUCCCUGAAACCUAAAAUUUCAGAUUUCACGCGACAUAACAUUUCGCUCUCUCACUUCUGCUCUAAUUAAAAGUUGCACUCUCCAGGCUCGUCGAAUCUGUGAGCUCGUCCAACCUGUAAGUACAAACCCUAUCUUCCCCUUGUAAAUUCAUUGAAUGAUAUUAGGUUGUUUUGUUAAAGGGUUUUAGGUAUAUGCUUUGCGAUCUGUUAAUAAUGUGCUUAUAGGUAUGGGUUCAUGGAUUUUCUGUUUAAUGGGUUCAUGACAAGAUCAAAUAAAGGUGUACUUUUGCUGGAAAUCAACACAAAAAGACACAUCACCAACUUCCAAAUGAUUUCCAGCAAAAGGACACCUUUAUUUGAUCUUGUCAUUUUCCGCUCUGGAGAAGGUGCAAAGUGCACCAAUGCUUAUAGGUAUGGGUUCAUGGAUUUUCUGUUUAAUGGGUUCAUGGAUUACAUUAUCUGUUAUGUUGAAUUGGGAAUGGAUUUAAUUUUGUCGUAUCUUUUAAUCACCCUAUGUUAUGUUGAAUUGGGAAUGGAUUUAUUGUUUUCAUGCUUGGUUUCAUGUAUAUGUUGGUUUCUUGCUUGGUUUCAUAUAUAUGUUGUGUUCUUAAUGGGUUUUGUGUUCUUGAAAAUAAACUGAGACACGACGAAUUUUAAGGCGUACGACGACGAUUACACGACGGUGUUUUUAAACUACCGUCGUUGUAUUACUUAUACACGACGGUUUUUUCAUAAACCGUCGUUUGUAUUACGUAUAAUAGACGACGUCUGUUGAAAAUCCGUCGUCUAUAUAUGCCAAAUACGUCUGUUUUUGAUUAAAACCCGUCGUCUCUGUUGUUUAUUACUUGCGAUUAGAUCAUUGUAUAAUCUGCUAUAGUGAUGGUCAUUGCCUGUAUUUUCACUUUAUUAUAGAUAAUAGGUUAUAGUGUCGGAGAUGGAUAAGUCAUGGAUGCACUCGGAUAGAAGAUCGAAGGCAUAUGAGUUUGGGGUGGAAGCAUUUUUGAACUUUGCUGUAGAAAAUCUUCUAACUACAACACAUAUCCGUUGUCCAUGUGUUAAAUGUGUUAAUUUGAAGUUGUUUGGGGUUGGAAUUAUAAGGGAUCACUUAUACUUUAAUGGAAUUGACCAAAGCUAUAAGAAUUGGACAUUUCACGGAGAACCUUGGGAAGCAACUACUAAUGCUAGCAGAAAUGUUGAAGAAGAUGAUGGCCAUAGUAGGUACAGUUUUGUGUCUGAAGAAAUUGAUAUGGAUGAUAAUGAUUUUGGUGAUUUUGGUUCGGAUCCGUAUGAGUUUGCCAAUGUGAUUGGGGAUGGAGAUCAACCAGUGUACCCUGGUUGUAGAAAGUACACGAAGUUAUCGGCAUUAGUGAAGUUGUAUAAUUUGAAGGCAAAACAUGGGAUGAGUGAUGUCUGUUUUACAGAAUUAUUGAUACUUCAAGGCGAUUUGCUUCCAGAAGGAAAUACAAUACCAACCUCCAUGUAUGAGGCUAAAAAGACUUUGUGUGCAUUGGGGCUGAGUUAUGAGAAAAUGCACGCAUGCCCCAAUGAUUGCAUCUUGUAUAGGAAGGAGUAUGAGGAUUCAACUAAUUGUCCUACUUGUGGUAUCUCAAGGUGGAAGGAAGGCAAAGAUGCAAUCUUGAAAGAGGGUGUGCCAGCGAAGGUGGUGUGGUAUUUUCCCCCAAUUCCAAGGUUUAAAAGGAUGUUUCAAUCACAUGAGACAGCUAAGAGUUUGACUUGGUGGCAUGUUGCUAGAAAAUCAAUUGACGGUCAGAUGUCUCAUCCGGCGGAUUCCCCGUCUUGGAAACUUCUUGAUGAUAAAUGGCCUGAGUUUGGUAAUGAGCCGAGAAACUUGAGAUUGGCUCUUUCAUCUGAUGGAUUCAAUCCCCACAGUUCUCUAAGUAGCAGAUAUAGUUGUUGGCCGGUUAUCUUAGUUACAUAUAAUCUCCCUCCAUGGCUGUGCAUGAAACGAAAGUUCAUGAUGUUAACCUUAUUGAUUUCCGGUCCUAAACAACCCGGAAAUGAUAUAGACGUCUACUUGGAGCCUUUGAUUGAUGAUUUAAAAUCCUUGUGGGUUGGGAUUAGAGGAGUGUAUGAUGCACAUAAUGGAGAAUACUUUACACUCAGAGCUGCAUUAAUGUGGACAAUUAAUGAUUUCCCCGCCUAUGGAAACUUAUCUGGUUGUGUUGUUAAAGGAUAUAAAGCUUGUCCAAUAUGCGGCGAUGAUACACCUAGUCACAGGUUGAAAAAUGGCCACAAAAUUUGUUACAUUGGGCAUAGAAAAUGGUUACCAAUCAAUCAUCCAUAUAGGAGCAACGUGCAGCUUUUAAUGGGAAACUGAAUAUGGCAUACCUCCAGAGCCAUUAACCGGAGAAGAAGUGCUGCAUAUGGUUGAAAAUGGUGACAGAGUUUGUUGGAAGAAGAAAUCAAUAUUCUUUGAUCUCGAGUAUUGGAAAUACCUUCCUGUGAGGCAUGCCCUAGAUGUUAUGCACAUUGAGAAGAAUGUUUGCGAUAGUAUCAUUGGUACAUUGCUGGAGAUCCCUGGAAAAAAUAAAGAUGGGAUUGCUGCUCGAUUAGAUUUAUUGAACAUGGGGGUCAAAACUGAUUUGCAACCCGAGUAUGGAGAAAGACGUACUCGUUUGCCUCCUGGGCCUUGGAAUUUGUCAAGAGCAGAGAAGAGAGAGGUUUGCAAUUCUUUCUAUGGUAUGAAGGUCCCUGAAGGUUAUUCUUCAAAUAUUAAAAAUCUUGUAUCUGUACAAGAUUCAAGACUUCUUGGCCUUAAAUCACAUGAUUGUCAUACCUUAAUGCAACAAUUGCUCCCUGUGGCAAUUCGUUCUGUUUUGGAGAAGCCUGCAAGGUAUGCAAUAACUCGUUUGUGCUUCUUCUUCAAUGCUAUAUGUGCAAAGACUGUUGAUGUUUCCAAGCUAGAUAAGUUGGAAGAAGAUGUAGUAGUUACUCUGUGUUUGCUUGAGAAGUACUUUCCCCCUUCAUUCUUUGAUAUCAUGGUUCAUCUAGUAGUACAUCUUGUCAGAGAAGUUCGUCUAUGUGGGCCAGUAUAUUUUAGGUGGAUGUAUCCGUUUGAAAGAUAUAUGAAAGUGCUGAAGGGGUAUGUUCAGAAUCGUACUCGUCCCGAAGGUUGCAUUGCUGAGCGGUAUAUAGCUGAAGAAGCGGUAGAGUUUUGUACUCAGCAUUUAUCUGAUGUUAGUACAGUUGGAGUGCCUUCAAGCCAAAAGAUGGGAGUUUCAAAGCCAUUAUCAGGUUGCACAGUGAGCGUAGUUGAUCAGGACCUGUUGAAUCAAGCACAUCUAUAUGUCUUGGAGAAUACGGAGGAAGUCCUACCUUAUAUCGAGUACGUAUGAGUUUUAUUCUUUAAGUUUCCAUUUAAAAUUAUUUCUUAUGUUUAUCUUAUAUAUUUGGGACCGUAAUGCUUGAAUUUUUCGUGUCAUGUAGGCAACAUAUGAUCCACAUCAAGACUGCUUAUCCAAAAUUUAGAAAGAGAACAAAGUGGCUGCAGGAUAAGCACAAUAGCACUUUCAUUCAAUGGCUACGCUUCAAGGUAUAUGUUGUUGAAUAACGUAUUUCUCUUUUAAUUUUCUUCUUAUUUAUAUGUUAGGAUGAAUUAAGAUAUGAUUAAUUUGCAGGUUCAAAGUGAAGUUGAGGAAGACAAUCAUGGCGUAUCAGAAAAUUUAAGGUGGCUAGCAGCUGGUCCAAACAUGUCAGUGCCAUUAUAUAGGAGCUAUCUUAUUAAAGGUAUUAAAUUCAAUAUCAAGGCACAAGAUGAUGUGCGGACAACUCAAAAUAGUGGAGUUUAUUUACUUGCACAUACCAUGCAAGUUGCUAGUGCCAAGGAUAAAAACCCAAUUCUCUCAAAUAUGGGUUUCUAUGGUGUCAUUCAAGAAAUUUGGGACCUUGACUACCAAAAGUUUACAAUCCCAGUCUUUAGGUGUGAUUGGAUAGAUAGUUCUGGUCUUGUAGUCGACGAACUUGGAUUUACCCUUGUAGAUUUGAGUAAAAUUGGACAUAGGAAUGACCAAUUUGUUUUGGCUUCUCAAGUCAAACAAAUAUUUUUUGUUGACGACCCGAUGCAUCGUGGUUGGUCGGUAGUGUUAUCAAUGCCUAGUAGAGAAUAUAAUGAUGUUAUUGGUGAUGAAGUAUUAGGUGAUGUGAUAAUUGAGUGUGAGCCAUUUACUAGAGGGAUGCCAAAUGUUGACACAUUUGAUGAACUGGUAGGUGAGUUAGGCGGUCAAAAUAUUCGAGAUGGGUGUGAAGAUAUAUGGAUUGAAUGAUGCUUAUGUAAUUGGCAGUGUAUGACAUUAAUUUUGUAAUAUAUUGUAAUGUGAUUUCUUCACUUUCUACGUUCAAAUAAAACACGACGUUAUUGUGAAUCAGUUAUUCAGCAUAUUUACCGACGUCUUAAAGCAACGUAACAAUGAAGAACCACGACGCUAUUGUGAAGCAAUUAUUCAGGAUAUCACGUCGGUGAAGGAUAAAGAACCGCCAUGUAAUUCAAAAUAACACGACUCCAAUCCCAUAAUACCGACGUCUAAAAAACGAGAUAUGUAAUCUGAACGUUAAAAAAUACGACGUCAUCAUACAUUUUCCACGUCGCAAGUUCUUUUAUAAACGAAGAGGAACGAAAUUAAUUCCGACGGAAAUUCAUUAUAACCGCCGUCUAAUAACAAUUAAACGACGUUAUUUGUAAUACGGCUCCCAUCAUAAUCUACGCCGUCUAUAUGUUCUGUAAUACGGCUCUCAUUUAUUUGGAACCGACGUUGUUUAGACGUUCAACGUCGUCUAUAUUAUUAAGUGCGUCGUGAGUAAUGAAUACAUAUAAAUACAACGUCGACUAUAUAAAUGUAUACGUCGUAAAUAAUGACACUGACAACUAUUUCCACGUCAUCUUUUUUAGAUAAAAUCGAAGUGGAAAAUUUAUUUCACGACGGUUUUUUGUAAAUAAGAGACGUUGUAGAACUUUAGCAGACUAAACACGUCUGUUUUUAUUGUUUUCCGACGUUGUUGUAUUUAACAACGUCUAAUAUUUAUGGUCGUUGUUUGUUUCUGAAAAUAGGACGUAUAAAUUUUUUAAUACGACUCUCAUAUAUUUGUAACUGACGUUGUUUAGUUUUUCAACGUCUACUAUAGAAACACAUACGUCGUAAAUAAUGACACUGACAACUAUUUCCACGUCAUCUUUUAUCAAAAAAUCGAAGUGGAAAAUUAAUUGUACGACGGUUGUGUUUAUAUGUGCGACGUAGUAGGUAUCAAUAACGUCGUCUUCUAAUGUAUUUAAAGACGUCAUAUUUUUUAUUGUCGUGAAAAUUAUAUUUAACGUCGGCGUAUUUUUAUUGUCGUCGUUGUAUGUCUAUCUUGCGGCCUUGUUCUCUUAAUAUGUGUCAUAUUUUCCCUUUUUAACGACGGUCUUUUUAGAGAAUUGGUCGUCUAUUAUCAUCAUCGAUUGCUUUUUUUAGAUCUUUUGCAGUACAAAGACGUCGUUUUGUAUUUUUUGAUGACGUUGUAUUGUUUAACAACGACGGUUAUUUAGCGUCGUGGUUUAUGAGGGAAAAGAUGACGGUGGAUUCCACGACCAUUGAAAAACCAAAUACACGACGGUGAUUUACCGUCGUCUUUUUGCUUUUUUGUAGUAGUGAAUUUGUAACAUUGGAUAAAAAUUAUUUUAGAACUCCAAUGCCUAAAAAACAAACCCUCAUGAAAGCUACCUAAAAGCGAAAAAGAAAGCUAAUAAAUGUCAGUAGUCACUCAGUAACCACCAUAAAAUAAAUUAACCACGUCCCGCAUUUGGCAAAACCGUCGCUUAUGUAUGAAAUCAAGAAAAUGAAAAUACUAUUUUAUGAGAUAGAGAUGCUACAAGUAUGAUAUUUAAAUUAUAAAACCGAUCCAAUGCCUGCGAUAUAGCAACACCACCAUGUCCACCACGUAUGAUGAGCUCCCGUUUCACACUCACCAACCCUCUCGUAGAACCACCGCGAACCGCCUGUUUGCGGUGGUUCAUUUGUGUGCCAUCUAAGCCCUAUUUUAUCACCAUGCACUCUCACUGCUCCACUCCAAAACCCUCCCUUCUUUCUUCAUCACCCUCAUUCUCUUCAUCUCCGACUCUGUCCAAGGGUGGCCCUGAGGGUGUGCAAGUGGUGCCACCGCACAGUGCCCCUAAUUUUUUAGGGGCCCCAAUUUUUUUUCAUGUGUAUAAUAUAUGUAGAGUGUUGCUAUUUUCACUCACCUUAUUUUAAAAAAUUUAAAGACAAAUUUAUCCCUAUGUAAAAUGACUUCUAAAACCCUAAAAAUAAAACAAAUUUUAAAAAGAAAAUAAAUUUUUUCUUUUACUCUCCAUAUUCUUUUCAUCUUCCUGACCUCAACAAAUUCAGCAAGCAUUGAUCUACCCAUCCCAAUCCUUUGAAAAGUUUUUAAAAAAAAAAUUCAAAUCAAAUUCUCAACUCCACCUUUAAUAUUGUGUCAGGGUUGGUAGGUGUUGAUAAUAGAGGCCAAAUUGUCCUUUAAUUUUAUUCUAUUUUAAAGAUUUUUUAGUCUGAUUAACCCACAUACGGGUCCUUAUUCCAUAUAACAUCACUUCAAUUAAAAAUCCAUUGUAGUUUUGUUGGUUGUAUGUUGUUGUGGUGGUGCUGUCGCGAUCGUGAAGCCACCAGUACUGCUAAGGGGUUGAUGAGAAUAUUAAUAUCGUAGGGUAAGGUCGUGAUGUUGAAAACACAUGAAGAAGAUGAAGAAUGGUUUUUUUUUUUUUUUUGGUGUUAAAAUUUUUAUGUUUUUAACUUGGAGUUGAUGGUGUUUGGUCGAAUUAAUAAUUAAAGGGUAUUUUAGGAAUAAUGGUGGGUGAAAAAGUAGGAUUUUAAUUUUUCAAAUUUACAUAGUUGGUGAGAAAAUAGGACAGGUGGGUGGAAAUAGCAGCACUCUAUAUGUAUAACAAAUGUUAUAUAUAUACAGAGUGAGCAAAUUGUUGACACAAAGACGUUUCUAGUUGUGUUGGUUUGUAGGGCCUCAACUUCUAUUCAGGACUCGACUUCAAAACCUGCUUGUGUUAAAGGCUUGUCCGAUGUCAACACCAACAUUCAAUAUCCCAUCUACGUUCACAACCACAAACUGAAAUAAUAAAUACCCGAUCACAAGGAAUUAGUCAGUAAUUAUGCUCAGAUAUUCAAUUUCGCAAAAAUAAUGCAUCCAACUAAGUCAACCAAAAUAAUUGCAUCGAAUUAAUGAUGUUCUUGGAAUAUUGAUACAAAAUAAAUUAGGUGUUAAAAAAUAUUUAAUAUCUGAGUAUGACCUAUGAUGACAAAGACUUAUUGUCACAAUCAUAGUGAUUAUUCAAAAGGUGUAACAUCUCUGACCCAACGUAAUCAAUUUAAUCCAAUUUAAUUCUUUUGUGAAAUUUCAAUUUUGUCCUUGGGAGUAGGGGUACUUUGAUCACUUUAAGAAAAAAAAACAUUUAUUGCAUGGCAUUAUAGCAACUCCACUAAGCAGCUGAGCCCAAAGCUGGGAGGGGAAAAAAAAAAUUUCAUUCCAGCGGUGAGCCCAAGCCCGGGCUGGGAGUGGGUCCCACCAACUCGGGCUGGCCCGAAGGUCAGUUCAGCCCGAGGUGAUGCCGUCAGCUAGAUAAUACCCCGUUUGGUACACUGUAUUGUUGACUUGAUAGGUGAUAUAUUGGGGCCCUAGCCUCUCAAUACAUCGUUGAAGACCGGGGAUUGACCCAGCACGUUGAGGUCAUUUUGGGAUCCUGCAACUCCAAAGAAGGCAUGCCAAACCCAUGUGGCGAAGCCAGCAACGGCUUCAAGGAUGAUACUUUUUUGGCCUUUUCUAUUUCCGUAAUCACCUUGCAAGGCAGUUGGGCAAUUCUUCCAUUGCCAAUGCAUGCAGUCGAUGCUACCAAUCCUGGAAAUCCUCGAGCUUCGGCUUUUUGUAGAAGCCGUUGGAGGUCCCUGGGAGUAGGUCUACGCAGGUAGUCCCUAGUGUAUAGAGUUUCAACUGCUUGACAAAAUCUUACCAAAGCCUUCAACGUAGUGGACUUCCUCAUCCGGGCAAUCUCAUCCACCUGAUCAGCAGAUGCUCCAUAUGCCAACAUUCGUAUAACAGCUGUAAGCUUUUGCUCCAGAAGAAGCCCCAAAACCCCAACAUCAUCACACUUUUGAACAAAGUAUGCAUCAUAAUUGAAAAUAUCAUGCAUGACUUUAUCGAACAAAUGGGGUUGCAUUCUAAAUCGCCUUCGAAAAUCAAUAUCAGAGUACAAAGAAGUUGGGAUAAAAUAAUCUUCCAAAAGAUUCUUACCCCGAGAAUGCCUAUGUCUGUCCACAUUCCAGCGGCGGCCGACUUGUGAACCACGGCGGCGACCUUAGUUCUCUUCAUCUUGCAAAUCCACUGCUAUGACAACUUGUUCAUCGACUUGUCUAUGCAACUCAUUGAUUUCAUCUGCUCUACGGUUUCUCUCAUUUGUUUCUCGCUCUUGCCUCUCCAAGCAUCUCCUAAAAUCUUCCAUUGAGAAUGAAUGGAGUAUGAAUUCUAAACUCUGAGAAAUGAAAAUAUAGAAAGAUGUGGUGUGAGAGGUAUGAGCUGAGCCUCUGGUUUUAUAGAAAAUUUUGGCAAGAUAGACAUGCCAUGUGGCUUGAUUUGAUUGGAUGAAAAUCUUAUCUGAAAUUUGAAAUUCAUCCGAAAUUUGAACCCAAAUUUGUAUGAAAUUUGAAUUUUGAAAUUCAUUCGAAAUUUGAACCCAAAUUUAUCUGAAUUUUGAAAUUUGAAAUUCAUUCGAAAUUUGAACCCAAAAAUUUAUCUGAAUUUUGAAUUUUGAAAUUCAUCCGAAAUUUGAAUCCAAAAAUCUUAUCCGGAAAUUUUAUCCGAUUAUGAAUAGUCUUGACACGUAAGAACCCGGAAAUCUUAUCCGAAGAUAUUAUCCAAAUUAAUUAUUUUCAUUAAAAAAUUUGUGAAAAAAAUAUAAAAAAUGAAUAGUAAUUGCCCUUAGCCAUGACAAUGGAUGAAAACACAAAAUACUAUUUGCAAGGGCAACCACUAUUCACGUGAAUAGUGGCUGCCCUAGCUCCCCCCUUGCCAUGGCUAAGGGCAAAUGGGUGGAGUUGCUCUUACAUAAUGGUGUAAGUUUUUGUUAACUUAUGUGAGGCCCCAAUUUAAGGUUUGCACAGGGCCUUCAAAAUCUCAAGACCGGCCCUGACUCUGUCCUUGCUUUUAUGUUCACCACCACGCAAUCUUUUCGGAUGAAUUAAACACAUCGAAUCGAAUUCCCAGAAAACCUCAAAAAGGUCAUGGAAGACUCAAACUUUCCAGCACUGGACGUGUUCAUAUGCAAUGCUGAUCCGGACAAGGAGCCGCCAAUGAACGUAGUGAACACGGCCUUAUCGGUCAUGGCUUAUGAUUACCCGACCGACAAGGUAUCGGUGUAUGUUUCGGACGAGUGCGGCUCGGCUCUGACUCUCUUUGCUUUCGUGGAGUCUUCCAAGUUUGCAAGGCACUGGUUGCUUUUUGUAGAAAGAACAAGAUAGUGGAGUGCAACCUAGAAGCUUAUUUUGCAAUGGAUCAUUCUCGGUUUGCUGACGCUGAGAAGAUCAAGGUAAUAGCUACAAAUAGUAUAGUACCAUAUAUCAAUUUCAUUAAUUAUAUAUAUAUAUGUAUGCUUAUGUUGUUAAACUGCAAAUGUGAACCACCACACGGUGUGUCUAUACGAGAACAUUUGUGUAAAGGUUCUGUUAAGAUAGCAAGAUUAAACAGAAAAUGCAGAGAGAAAUGAAUAGAAGCAGAGAGAGUUUCAGAGUAAUGAAAAGAAGAAUUAUUGUAUUCUCAUUAACCUCAAGCUUAGCACAAUUACAAACUUUAUAUCAGCUUUAGUUAGAGCUUUGUUCACGUUUUCUAACCUCUCUAAUAUUCGCUGAUCAAUUACUAAUAGUUCUUCCUAACUGCCUAACAAUACUAACAACAUCUUAACCACUUAACUCUUUAAUCUUAUGACAUGUGGCAAGACUAGGACCAUUGAUAUCUUUACAGGUUCGAAAUCCCCAGACAUCCAAUAAGUAUUUGUGUAAAACUCCUCCCUCUUGUACCAAAAAUUACCUUUAGAGAGUAUACAAUGAGAGGGAGAGAAGGCAAGUAGAUAGGCCAAACGGGACUCCUAAGAUGGGAGACUUCCUUGUUUCAUAGAAUGAUAUUAGAUUUAUGGAGCAAACCAUUAGAUUAAUUAACUAUAUUUUGUUCUGAAUCAUGCAUGGCACAGGAUAUAUACCUAGGCCUGAAAGUAAAGGUAAACAAUGUAAUUGAGAGAGGCAAACUUGGGCAUGAACAUAUAACUGGAGAAGGGGAAAGUCAAGCUUUUAGGAAAUGGACGGAUGAGUUUACCCGACAAGAUCAUCCCACUGUCACCUAGGUAUUUUUCUAACUCAAGUGGUGAAGCUCUUUAUUCUCACUUUUAUGAUGAUAUGAUUAGACUACUUUGAUUCUCCAUCUCCCCUUUCCGUAAUCAUUAAAAAAUAAACAAAGGUUACCUCAAAGCAACAGUAAUAAUUUCUAUGAGGAAAUAAUCACGCAAUAAUCUUACUAGACAAUUUGUCAUGGUUAUAUGCCCAGGAUUCAAAAAUAAGAUAGACAAUUACCUUUUCUCCCAAAUUUCAGUUCGGCUAUAGCUCUAUCCAAACAUGGCUGGAUCUGUGACCCUAUUAAAGAUGAUCCGAGUUCAAAACUAAUGUAUAUGCGUAUCUUUGUGUAAUAUGAUUGAGCAGAUUCUUUUGGACAAUAGCAAGGACAAGGACAUCACAGAACAGUCGAUGUCAAACCUAAUAUACGUGUCGAGAGAAAAACGCAGGACAUCACCCCACCAUUUUAAAACUGGUGCCCUUAAUGACCUUGUAAGCUUUCAUACGUACUUAUUUUUCCCAUUCAAACAUCUCUUUAUUAAUUAAUUUAAUUAAUUUAUGCAUUGGUGUGGUGUAACAAAAAGCUUCGAGUUUCAGCCACCAUGACCAAUGCUCCAACAAUCUUGACUCUAGACUGUGACACCUACUCUAAUGACCCUCAAACACCCCAUCAUGCCCUAUGUUACUUACCAGACCCCAAAUUUCGAUCCAAAUUAGAGUUUCUGCAGUUUCCUCAGCGUUUUCAUGGCAUCAACAAGAAGGACGUAUACGCAUGUGAGCACAAACGUUUGUACAAAAUUAACUCUUUCGGAAUACGGGCGAUUGGGACCAAAUUAUUUAGGAACAUGAUGUUUUUAUUUCUAGAAGGGUUUUCUUUGGCGGCCCCUCACAUCUUUUACUUCCUGAAAUGCCCCAACUUGGUCAAAACAAUGUUGUGGACAAACCCAUUCAGUCUCAAGAGGUUCUGGAAUUGGCUCACCAUGUUGCCGGUUGCAACUAUGAGAAGAAUACCACUUGGGGCUUAAAGGUAAUUCAGCCAAAUAUGUAAUUGCUUUUUAAAACUUCUCCUUUAUUUAUUUAUUUUAAAUUUGGAAAUUGAUGUAGUUGUGAGUUAGGCCAAUUGGCCGGGAAAUGUGUCGGUCUCUUUGCAACCGACUUCGAUCCCUCUCCCCGUACAUUACAGUUGUUAAAAUAUCACUUUGUUAAAAUAAUAAUAAUAAUAAAAUUGUGUAAACUGUGUAGAUUGGUGUAAGAUAUGGCUUACUUGAGGUGGCUUUCUCCAAGCAUAGUCCAAUUACACACGGCACUCUGGCCAUGGGCCCUUUCAUGGGCCUUGCUUAUGCUCAGUAUGCAUUUUGGCCCAUUUGGUCUAUUUCGUUCACCAUAUACGCCUUCCUUCUCCAACUGGCUUUCCUCAAUGGACUCACUAUAUUUCCAAAAGUAAUGUACACAUUUACCUUUCUCAAUUUCUUCUUCUAGAUAAAUAAGAAAUGUUCUAUUGUCAGACAAUUUGAUACGUAAUGUUUAUUCGGGUAGGUUUCAAAUCCAUGGUUUCUCUUGUAUGUGUAUCUUUGUAUCGGAGCCUACGGUCAAGAUCUCCUAGAUUUUUUGUUAGCUGGGGGAACAUUCCAUAGGUGGUGGAAUGACCAAAGGAUGUGGAUGAUUAGGGGACUUUCAAGCUUCUUGUUUGGAACCAUUGAGUUCUCUCUUAAAUCCUUAGGCAUUGCCUCGCAUGGGUUCAAUGUGACAAGCAAAGUCCUUGACGAGGACCAAAGCAAAAGAUACGAACAAGGAAGCAUUGAGUUUGGAGUCUCAUCACCCUUGUUUGUGACCCUAACAAUGGCUGCCAUUGUCAACUUGGUUGCCUUUGCUUGGGGGAAUGUAGAGCUUAUCAGAGGCAGCAAUAGAAGACGGAAGCCAGUUACAUCAAAGUGAACCCAAAAAAAUGAAUUCAACUAAUGAGAAACCUCUACAUUAAAAACAACGAUAAAAUUAUUGGGUACCCGUUAUAUUUUAUGUAUUUGCUAACCAUAAGGUUGAGAGUACUCAUUGAACAGAGAGAGAGAGAGAGAGAGAGAGAGAGAGAGAGAGAGAGAGAGAGAGAGAGAGAGAGAGAGAGAGAACGAACGUAACGUAAAUAAAUUCUCAGAUGUUUGAGAAAGACAUAUCCUCUUUCUAUACUGGUCCAUGAAAACAAGGACAUCCUCACAUUGUCGUUGGCCCUGCCCACCACCAUGACCCUUGUCAAAAUAAUUGAGUCAGGCCCAGAGCCAAGUGGGAAUGUGACUGCGACCACAACUAGCCCUAGACAAAUUGACUACACUCUUAAACACAGGAUCUCGGUGGCAGAGAUCAAUCCUUCUAAUCACUUGAUCUAUAAAUCGUUUGCAAUAUAUAUACAUCUUUCUAUAAUGAAAAUUGAACUUCCGAAAAUCUGUAAGCCGUUUACAUGGAUCUCAUUCUAAUGAAAAUUCCAUACCAAGAAGAUAUAAUUACUACAUAUCCUGGUAGGCAAGAACUUUUCUUUUUAAUAAUUUCGUUUAACUUUUACUGAUUAAAAUUUUCUUAUUUGUCUGAUUGCUGAUCAGAAAGUCAGCCAUGUGUGCUUGACUAGUGUCAUAUCACCACGCCAGCAUGGCAGCAUCCAGUAUUAUUAAUUAAUAUAAACUCGUCCAUUUCUGAGAAGGAUCCAGAAAUUAUGGAAUUUGCGAGGUUGCUACUUUCCAUUCUCCAACGCACAUUAUUUUUCAAUUCUUGGACCCAGCUCCAUUUGAUAAUGUUAUCUUCAAUUGACUGGAUUCUGUGCUCAAAUUCUAACGGUCAACCAGAUCACUCAUACUAAGCUACAGCCACACUGUCAAUUGACUGGUAGAACAUGAUUUAUUUCAUUCAUGGCCUGAUUUUUAUUAAAAUAAUAAUCAAAAUUCACUAUUCAAUGAGCAUGAGUAUUGUUAGCGUCCACAAAUAUGAUUUGUAUCAGCACUGUGGGUGCCUAAUAUAUUAAAAGACUGUCAUUUAGUAUAUUGGAAACGACAAGUGCCAAUAUAAAUUAUAUUUGUGAAUACUAAUAUUCAUGUUUACUGAAUUUUUUUCUAGUCGUAAUUUUCACAAAUUAAGAAUAAAGCAUUAUCUGACUUGUUAAUUACAUUCAUCUAAUACAUUAUUAUAUGCUGAUUUGUUUACAAAUAAUGUGCAUGAUUGUGUCUUGAUCUUCAGUCUCUUUGGUUUUAAAAUGAUUGAUGGUCGAUAGAGAUGCAUCACAACGUACGAAAAGUGUUGGGGCCUGUGGUAUGAGAAACACCAAGGACCUUUAUAUAAGAACCUCUAAACCUCAUGUCCUGCCUAUGAAAUAGCAGAAGUACAAGAAGGGAGACUCAAACUCAAAGAGUUUCCACUCUUGCACCAUCAUGUCCACCACCACCACCCAUAAUGACCUCCCACUACACACCCACAAGCGCUCCCGUCGAACGACCGCGAACCGUGUGUUUGCGGUGGUUCACUCGUGUGCCAUCCUAGCCCUUCUCUACCGCCAUGCACUCUCUCUCCUCCACUCCACAUCCCUCACCUCUUUCCUUAUCACCCUCACCUUCCUCAUCUCCGAUUCUAUUCUGGCUUUCAUGUACAGCACCGCACAAUCUUCUCGUAUGACACCGAUUUACCGUAAAGAAUUCCCCAAAAACCUGAAAAGGGUUGUCAAAGAAUCGGAUUUUCCAGCGUUGGACGUGUUCAUAUGCACUGCUGAUCCGUUCAAAGAGCCACCAAUGAACGUGGUAAACACUGCCUUAUCGGUCAUGGCUUAUGAUUAUCCGACCGAUAAGGUUUCGGUGUAUGUUUCAGAUGAUGGGGGCUCGGCUCUCACUCUCUUUGCUUUCAUGGAGGCUGCCAAGUUUGCAAGCCACUGGCUACCUUUCUGCAGAGAGAACAACAUAGUGGAACGCUGCCCUGAAGCUUACUUUGAAACGGAUCAUUCUCGGUUACCUGAAGCUGACAAGAUCAAGGUAAUAUUUCAAUUUUGCUUAAUUAUUAACUAUAAAUAUGUUUAGCUAAAUCAAUAUGUAUGGGAGUAAUAUCCUCUUAUCAAGUUUAUAUUGUCACAUAAAUAAGUAUAGUAUAGUGCCGAAUUAUGUCGUGUGAUGAGAGAAGAUCAUAUAAUACUUAUGUUAUUAGAUUACGAAUACUGAUUCUUCGUUAGGGUAUUACAUAGAAAGGAGUUUAUAUUUUUGCUCAAAUUGAAAAGGGGACCUUCUUAAUCUUUAGAAACGCCCCUACCAAAAUUUCAUGUAUUCAGUAACACAAAAGGUUGUAUUAAGCAAGAAACAAAUAAACAUGGGAUCUUGCUAUAAAGAAACGACAACACACAGAAACGUGACGUCGGCUGCAAUACUUAUUUGUCACCUUGUUUGGGUUCCUAUCCUCUUCAUAAUGCAUGAGCCAAUGACGGCACAAACAGCCAACACCAAGUUGUAUGGUAUCCUCUUCAUAAUGCAUGAGCCAAUGACGGCACAAACAGCCAACACCAAGUUGUAUGGGCAUCGCAUCACAUUCAGGACUGGCCUAAUUAACCCAGAUUAAGCUUAAUUAAUUAUGUUUUGUUCUGAAUCAUGGCACAGAUUAUGUACCAAGGCAUGAAAGUGAUGGUAAACAAUGUAAUUGAAAGAGGCAAAGUUGGCGACGAAUAUAUAACUGGAGAACGGGAAAGGCUAGCUUUUAGGAAAUGGACAGAUGGAUUUACCCGACAAGAUCAUCCCACAAUUGUUCAGGUAUAUUUUUCUAUCCCAACUGGUGGACCACUUUCUCCCACUAUUACGAUUUACAUGAUAAGAGUUUGAUUCUUUCUUCACUAUUACGAUCGACAUGAUAAGAGUUUGAUUCUUUCUUCCUUUCCUUUGAAUUUUAAACCAAAAGAACUUAUCUCAAUUUUUACAUAUAUACAUUCUACUUGGGACAAUAAUAAUCAUUCUUGUGAGGAACUAAUCACUAACAAUCUUGUAAACGAAAAAAAAAGGAACUAGAAAACCCAAUUAUGUCAUCUCCUAUUACAUAGUUUAAUAUGCUAUAGAUGUCGUGAUCUAUUGUCCUUUGGCAAUUCAAAAUCAUCCACUAAUUAACUGUCGUAAUUCAAAAUUAUUCAUAAUUUACUUACUGGUUAGCGUUUAAGCGCUCUAUAAACUUAUAUAUAUGUAUGUACUUAAAAGCAUAUAUGUACGUGGACAGGUUCUUUUGGACAAUAGCAAAGACAGAGAUAUCGCAGAGAAUUCAAUGCCAAACCUAAUAUACAUCUCUAGAGAGAAAAGCAUGACAUCACACCACAAUUUUAAAGCUGGUGCCCUUAAUGCUCUUGUAAGCUUCCAUACCUUUUCUUUUGGGCUCACAUAACCAUCUCAUUCUCAAAUAAUUAAUUAAUCAUCUUCAUUUCUUCACCAACUAAUUUAUAUUUUUCUGAUGGUGUGUUGUAACAAAAGCUUCGAGUCUCAGCCGCCAUGACCAAUGCUCCAAUAGUCUUAACCCUUGACUGUGACAUGUUCUCCAAUGAUCCCCAAACACCUCAUCGUGCCCUCUGUUACUUCUUAGACCCCAAAAUUCAAUCUGAACUAGGGUAUGUGCAGUUUCCUCAACGCUUUCGUGGGAUCGACAAGAGCGACAUGUAUGCAUCUGAAAACAGGCAUUUAUUUGAAAUUAAUCCACAGGGAAUGGAUGGGGUUUUAGGGCCAAAUUAUGUCGGAACUGGGUGUUUUUUCUCCAGAAGAGUUUUCUUUGGCGGCCCAUCGAAGUUUUUACCACCCGAAGACCCCCAACUUGGCCCAAACAAUGUGGUGGACAAGCCUAUUCAGAGUCUAGAGGUUCUAGAAUUGGCACACCAUGUUGCAGCUUGCAACUAUGAGAAAAACUCCAAUUGGGGAUCAAAGGUACACUCUUUCUUUUUGAGUGAGUUGUUAUUUCUGUUUCAAAAAAGUCAUCAUACACUUAGAUUCGAAAACUAAUGAAUUAAGUUAUUAAAUUGUGUAGAUUGGUGUGAGAUAUGGUUCGCUGGUGGAGGACUACUUUACUGGUUAUCGUUUGCAGUGUGAGGGGUGGAAGGCCAUAUUUUGCAAUCCAGAUAAGCCAGCAUUUUAUGGGGAUUCCCCAAUCAACCUUAUUGAUGUUUUAAAUCAAACCAAGCGAUGGGCCAUAGGCCUCCUUGAGGUGGCUUGCUCUAAGUAUAGCCCAAUUACAUUUGGCAUAAAAUCCAUGGGCCCGCUCAUGGGCCUUGCUUAUUGUCAGUAUGCAUUUUGGGCCAUUUGGUCAAUUCCAAUCACCACAUACACCUUCCUACCACAAUUAGCUCUUCUCAAUGGACUCACUAUAUUUCCAAAGGUAACCCUUUUCACAAUUUCACUUUCUAAAUAAUUGGUAAUUUAAUUUCCAUAAUCAAAGAGUCUGAUAUAUCAUAUCACAAUGUUAGAAUGUUAAUUUGACCUAAUUAAGAUUCAUAUUAAUAUUUUGACAACAUCUCAUAAGUGUGUAAUGUAGUAAUCUAAAUAUACAAGGGUCGGACAAGAUGUGCACUAAAAUUGAAGUACUUAUUGCAGGUUUCAGAGCCAUGGUUUCUCUUAUAUGUGUUUGUUUUCAUCGGAGCCUACGGUGAAGAUCUUCUAGAUUUUUACUCAACUGGAGUAACAUUCCAAAAGUGGUGGAGUGACCAAAGGAUAUGGCUGAUUAGGGGACUCUCAAGCUUCUUGUUUGGAUCCAUUGAGUUCUUCUUCAAGUCCUUUGGCAUUGCCACACUUGGGUUCAAUGUGACAAGCAAAGUCCUUGACGAGGACCAAAGCAAAAGGUACGAACAAGGAAGUAUGGAGUUUGGAGUCCCGUCACCUUUGUUUGUGCCCCUAACAACGGCUGCCAUUGUCAACUUGGCUGCCUUUGCUUGGGGGCAUUUAGAGAUUUUCAGAGGCAGCAAUGGCCUGGAGGGACUGUUGAUGCAGAUGUUCAUAGCUGGGUUUGGGAUAGCAAAUUGCAUACCAAUUUAUGAAGGCAUAAUUAGGAGUGAUAAAGGAAAAAUUCCUACAAAAAUUACUUUAGUUUCAACAUUUAUAGCGUUUGCUCUUCAUGCAGUAGCUUAUGUUACUCUUAGGAACUGAACCCCAAAAACUGUGUUAAGAGAAAGCGAUUUCGAAUAAAACGUUGUUAGAGCCCUACAGUUUUUUUUUAGUGAAUUUGGAGUCCCUAUGAGAGAUCCCAAUAGCUUGACGACAAAGUUGUGGACCAUUGUUUUGUUUAAUCAUUGGCCUCCAUGCUAAGUUUUCUAAGCUCCACUCAGUCUUCUUUGCAAAAGAUAGUUUAGUUAAUCUUAAUCGGACCACUUGGUCGCCGCCAUUGUGUUAGGUUUCCUUUUAGGUAUUUUGGGAAACUUCUUUGUACAUUAAUAUAAAUAAUGAAAAACUUAAUGCGUCAUUUUAAAUUUAAGGGGUUUGUAUAUAGACCUACAUAUAUUGAAUUGAAGGUACUACUAGAUCAUGAGGCUAACGAUCUUUUGCUAGAUUUAUGUUGUAAGGCGAAUGCUUAUAUUAACUGAACGAGUCUGAAAUAACCAGUGUCGACGUAACAUUGGAUGAAAAUUAUUUUAUCAGAACUCCAAUGUCCAUAAAAUAAACCCUCAUGAAAGCUACCUAAAAGCAAAAAGGAAAGCUAAUAAAUCAUAUUUGUAACUUAUGGAAUCAUCCAUAGAUGUAUUUUAAUUACUUAAGAAAAGGAGUUUUCAUAAACACAUGAUAUCUGAAUUAUAAAACUAAUAAUAUGAAAUAAUAAAGAAACUGAAAACACCAUUUUAUGAGAUAGAUAUGCUACAAGUAGAAAAGUGUAAACCGUACACAGGUGAAAAACACUUCAGAAGAGUCAAAAUGUUUUUUCAAAGGAGAAAAUUAAUAUGGUAGAUAGGUCAGCCGACCCUCCUGGGCGUUAGCUGGCGACGCCAAUGGAACUAACUACAUUUUAUGAGUAAAAUUUUUCUUCUAACUUGGAAGCAUCCAAAAUUCUCAAAGAUUUCAGACUAGUGAUGAUGUGUUUCACUAGUAAUUUGACAGAGAUGUUUGAGUCUCUUUCACAUUUUUUGAAGAAAAUCACAAGGAUUUACAAGAAUUAAGCUCUGAAUUGAAGGAACUAGCAAGUCUACUCCCACAACAGGUUACGAAAUUAAAGAUUUUGAUGCUAAUCCAAAAUUUGAAAAGAGGGCACGAAUUCAUAGAGUGUGUACCAGAGUAUUUUUGGUAGUUAAAUAGGAUCUAUUUAGUUAAUUUUACAUUUUAAUUAAAAUAUUAAAAUGUACGUAGAUCAUAGAGUGUGUACUCAAUUAAUUUUAAGAUCCGUUUAACAACACUCUACUUUUAUAUAUAUCUUAUGCAUAAUUUAUUGACAGUCAAAGAAAUCAGUCAUGUACUCCGACAAAAUAAAAAGUUUAAAAAAUCAGAUCAGUCAUUCGAAAGCAAGCGUCCAUUUUCUUUCUCCUUUUUAUUUUAUAUUGUCAGCAUUGACUAGUGUUUGUAUAUCCUUCAUCAAUCAUCAACCCAAAUAUUCUUUCUUGGGUGUAAUUUUUUUUCAGUGAAAAAUAGGUUCACGCAAAUUAAGUAUAAACUAACUCUCUGGUUUUGACAUUUAUAUAUAAAAAUAAAUUUUUUAACGAUGAAUUUUGAGAGUGGAUCUUGACCUUACGGCACUUAUCUUUACAAGUUAUUGAUCCACCAGUUUCUAUGGGUACGAUUGGUAGUUGGAGGUCGUUUUCCACAUUUAAUAAUUUUAUUAAAUUAAACAAUUCAUAGGUACUGCGACCUUCAUUCUAUAACUUAACUUUUAAUCCAAAAUGAUUCAUUAGAAAUUCAAAUGUCACACCAUGUCCUCCAACAGCCAUGGCCUCCCACUUCACACUCACAAGCCCUCUCGCCGAACCACCGCGAACCGCAUCUUUGCGGUGGUUUAUGGGUGUGCCACCUUAGCCCUACUUUCUCACCAUGCACUCUCUCUCCUCAACUCCACAACCCUCACCUCCUUCUUCAUAACCCUCACCUUCCUCAUCUCAGAUUC
rnacentral:lncRNA from 1 species